UGGGGAAUUUUCCGCAAUGGGCGCAAGCCUGACGGAGCAAUACCGCGUGAGGGAGGAAGGCUUUUGGGUUGUAAACCUCUUUUAUUAAGGAAGAAGAAAGUGACGGUACUUAAAGAAUCAGCAUCGGCUAACUCCGUGCCAGCAGCCGCGGUAAUACGGAGGAUGCAAGCGUUAUCCGGAAUUAUUGGGCGUAAAGCGUCCGCAGGUGGCUCUUCAAGUCUGCUGUUAAAGACAGAAGCUUAACUUCUGAGAGGCGGUGGAAACUGGGGAGCUUGAGUACGGUAGGGGUUGAGGGAAUUCCCAGUGUAGCGGUGAAAUGCGUAGAGAUUGGGAAGAACACCAGUGGCGAAGGCGCUCAACUGGACCGUAACUGACACUCAGGGACGAAAGCUAGGGGAGCGAAAGGGAUUAGAUACCCCCGUAGUCC
rnacentral:rRNA from 1 species